rnacentral:rRNA from 1 species
UAGGGAAUCUUCCGCAAUGGACGAAAGUCUGACGGAGCAACGCUGCGUGAGUGAUGAAGGCUUUCGGGUCGUAAAACUCUGUUGUUAGGGAAGAACAAGUAUCGGAGUCACUACCGGUACCUUGACGGUACCUAACCAGAAAGCCACGGCUAACUACGUGCCAGCAGCCGCGGUAAUACGUAGGUGGCAAGCGUUGUUCGGAAUUAUUGGGCGUAAAGCGCGCGCAGGCGGUCUUUUAAGUCUGAUGUGAAAUCUCGCGGCUCAACUGCGAGCGGUCAUUGGAAACUGGAGGACUUGAGUACAGAAGAGGAAAGUGGAAUUCCACGUGUAGCGGUGAAAUGCGUAGAGAUGUGGAGGAACACCAGUGGCGAAGGCGGCUUUCUGGUCUGUAACUGACGCUGAGGCGCGAAAGCGUGGGGAGCAAACAGGAUUAGAUACCCUGGUAGUCCACGCCGUAAACGAUGAGUGCUAAGUGUUAGAGGGUUUCCGCCCUUUAGUGCUGCAGCUAACGCAUUAAGCACUCCGCCUGGGGAGUACGGCCGCAAGGCUG